GGAAAACAAAUUACAAAAACAAGUUUAAGUGUAGAGGUCAUUUGAAUUAUGAUUGGAAAAGAAUUACAGAACGGUUUUGAGAGUCAAGAUCUGUAGUAUUGUAUGAAUGUUGAAAUGGAUGAAUUUGAUAUAAAUUCAAAAUUAUAAAAGUAGUAAAAGCUUUGUGCUUUAUUGAGCUUUUUGUUGGUACAGGAUUCUGCAGAUGCUUUCUGUGCUUUUAAAAUUUUAAGAAUGAGUAUUUGAUUUUUCUUACUUUCUUUUGAAUUGCUUAGAUAUUAGAAAAGACCUUAUUUAAUGUAUUUUCCCCAGAAUUUAUUUUGAAAAAUUUAUGGAUUAAACAAUUCUAAUACUGAGCUAUCUAAUUGUAACAGUGUUAUACACUGAUGAUUUCAUGUUGUAUAUUUCAAUAGAAAUAUUGUGCCCACCGGCAAAAAAAUUCAGACACAUUGUACAACUUUAAAAUUAUGUACAUAAGAUUUUCUUAUCUAUGUAUUAAUGUAUUAACUUGAACAUUUAUUUGCUUUUAUAUCUGUGAAAUUUCGGUUUGAAGUGGAUUGUUUAAAAAUAGUCAAUGUCUUGUGGUCCAUAUUUUCAUGUCACCUGUUUCUUCCUGGAAAUUUAUAAACAUUUAUAGCAGGAUGAUUUUGUUUUCCUUUAAUAUUUUUAACAUUUUUUUUUAUGAAGUGGUAAACUGAUAAUGCGAUAUAUGUAACUCAUGCUAUAUUUGUUUAAGGGAACUCUGUAGAUGUGUGUAUGUGUUGUGUGAGGGAGAGAAAGAGGGGUAGAUGAAUGAUGAUGUAUGAUAUAUUUAUAAUGUCCUUUUUUCUGUUAAUAACUUUUUUUCCCGUUUAUUUGUUAAACAAGUUUAACAAACGUCAAAUGUUAAAUCAUUUAUAACAGUUGUUGUCAUCAUAUAAUUUAUUGAAUCUUAACAUCUGCAGAAAAAAGUUAGUUGUCAACACCCACAAGUAGGAAUCAUUUGAUGUAGUUAUGUAUUGUAACUUAGUAGUUUUACAUUUAUGAAAAACAGUUUGUAGAUAUCUACUUCAUUUUUUUUCCACAAUAUAUAUAAGUCUUUUUAGAUUUUUUCCUUCUUUGAAAGUUAAAACCAAGGACAUCACUUGUGAUGCUUUUUUAACAUUGUUUUUAUGACGUAUAAGUAAAUUAGGACUUGCGCUAACACAAGUUUUAUUUCAUCUGUCUGUUGCUGUUUGUAUGAGGAGACAAAAUGAAUUUGUAUGUAUUCAAUCAAUUAGAACACAAAUGUAAUGUUUGAGAUAUCAGAGUCCAAUAAAAUCCUCUGUGUGGUG
rnacentral:misc_RNA from 1 species